rnacentral:lncRNA from 13 species
CCCUGAGUGUAGCAGGGGGACCACCAAGGGCCACAACACCUAUCGCCUAAGGGAUAUGCAGUCCCUGGGGCUCUCCGCUUGGGGGCCCGCGGGACAGGAGGUGCACACGCGACAGGAGGUGCGCGGGCGGGGAGGCUCACCCAAGAGAGGAGGCGGGCACCCGAGAGGAGGCGCGCGUGAGUGGAGGCUCACCCAAGAGAGGAGGCACGCACCCGAGAGGAGGCGCGCGUGAGUGGAGGCUCACCCAAGAGAGGAGGCGGGCACCCGAGAGGAGGCGCGCGUGAGUGGAGGCUCACCCAAGAGAGGAGGCACGCACCCGAGAGGAGGCGCGCGUGAGUGGAGGCUCACCCAAGAGAGGAGGCACGCACCCGAGAGGAGGCGCGCGUGAGUGGAGGCUCACCCAAGAGAGGAGGCACGCACCUGAGAAGAGGCGCGCCGGCGGGGAGGCUCAUCAGAGAGGAGGCGCGCACCCGAGAGGAGGAGCGCGGGAGGGGAAGCUCACCCAAGGAGGCGGGCACCUGAAAGGAGGCGCGCGUGAGGUGAAGCUCACCAAGAGAGGAGGCGGGCACCCGAGAGGAGGCGCGCGUGAGGGGAGGCUCACCCAAGAGAGGCGCGCACCCGAGAGGAGGAGCGCGGGAGGGAAUUCAAUAUGGAAAACACCUGUGCAUGUCGCUGUGCAUUAAGCUGUUAAGUCAGCUAAUACUCAAAUCUGGUCAGCAAUGCUCUAUACGCUGUGGGUACAGAAAAGGCAGACGCCUCUGCCCUUGUGCGGCUUCUAGAGGGGAAGCUCCACGCUAAAGGUAAAGAAAAAUUGCAUAAAAUGUCUGGGCGCAAUGCCAAGCACUAGAAAAGAAACAAGUAAGGGGUGGAAAAAUAUGAGAAGGGCCAUUUACUUUUAAUGUCUCAGAUGAGAACUUGUCUCCCAGCACAGGCACAGGCCACCAGAGAGGAGGAAACUUGGAGCUUUCAAAAACAUAAAGAAAAAUUCCGAGGGGAUCUCACUGGCUGUAGUCGAACAGGCAAGUCCUGGUGGGCGGCAAUAUAUGCGAAAUAAA